AGCGAACGCUGGCGGCAGGCUUAACACAUGCAAGUCGAGCGGAUGUAGCAAUACAUCAGCGGCAGACGGGAGAGUAACACGUGGGAACGUACCUUUCAGUUCGGAACAACCCAGGGAAACUUGGGCUAAUACCGGAUACGCCCGUAAGGGGAAAGAUUUAUCGCUGAAAGAUCGGCCCGCGUCUGAUUAGCUAGUUGGUGAGGUAACGGCUCACCAAGGCGACGAUCAGUAGCUGGUCUGAGAGGAUGAUCAGCCUCAUUGGGACUGAGACACGGCCCAAACUCCUACGGGAGGCAGCAGUGGGGAAUAUUGGACAAUGGGCGCAAGCCUGAUCCAGCCAUGCCGCGUGGGUGAUGAAGGCCCUAGGGUUGUAAAAUUCUUUCACC
rnacentral:rRNA from 1 species